rnacentral:rRNA from 1 species
GACGAACGCUGGCGGCGUGCUUAACACAUGCAAGUCGAGCGGUAAGGCCCUUUCGGGGGUACACGAGCGGCGAACGGGUGAGUAACACGUGGGUGACCUGCCUCUAGCUCUGGGAUAAGCCUGGGAAGCUGGGUCUAGUACCGGAUAUGACCUCGCGGUGCAUGUUGCGGGGUGGAAAGCCUUGUGCGGCUAGGGAUGGGCCCGCGGCCUAUCAGCUUGUUGGUGGGGUGANGGCCUACCAAGGCGACGACGGGUAGCCGGCCUGAGAGGGCGACCGGCCACACUGGGACUGAGACACGGCCCAGACUCCUACGGGAGGCAGCAGUGGGGAAUCUUGCGCAAUGGGCGAAAGCCUGACGCAGCGACGCCGCGUGAGGGAUGACGGCCUGG